ACGGCUCUCUCAUGGAAGUGAGUAAUGCGAUAUCAAGUGUGUCCGGACAGCUCAGCUGUAUCGAAUUCCAUUUGUCGCUGUGGCUUGGAAUAUUUAAAGGAUAAAAAAUCCACACACGACGUGCAAAAAUUAAAGACGGAAAAAGGAGAUUACGUAGGGAGUUGGACCAAGCGCAGUAUCACCUCAGACGUGGGUAUCCGCAUCACUCGAAAUGUCGCUCACCGGGACCUAUCCCUGUGAUCGAUAAAUAAGCCGCAAGGAAAGCUAAUAUCUCACAUGCGAGGGAUGCGUAGUUGGCGGUAAAGGUCAAUGGAUAUGGUAUCCAGAUGAAGGAGGACAGAAAUCAAUAGACCUUGAGAGCCUUGAAAUACCACUGCAUCUCAUCGAUUUUACUUUCCUUGGCGCACAUGCAGGAAAUGAGGCAGUAUGGAAGUUUGAUAGGAGUCUCACUACGGCAACUUUCAUUAAAUCUCAAGUAAUAUCGCUCGCGUAUGGGAAGGUAAUUACUCCCCGCGAAGCUGCCUGGUAUCCGUGACCCUGACGUCUGUAAUUUGCGAUGCAUGCACGAAAUUCCUGGAUGCAAUAAAGCUCUGCGUCGUGAAAUACCAAUUAGGGAGACGCGGAAACUCGGCCAAGGUGAACAAAUGGAACUUUUGUCCUUUCUGAGAAGGUUUUACUCUCCAACAGAAGAAAUAAGACGACCGCGAAUUUUUCUUUCACAUCUCGGGAUUAAUUAAUUUUAAUAAUGAGAAAGGAAAUCCGGAGGAGACUCUGGUAUGAUUGAACAUCACUCGGAGAUAUUGAGAAUUAAAGUUUAAUUGCUGUUCAAUUUUAAAAUAUUUCUUAUCACGGAAAUUUAAUUUGUUUGUCAUAUUUUAAUUAGACAGUAAUGAGAAUAUUAAAUUCGGCAGUAAUUUCUAAUAGAUUAUCGUCCCCGAGUGGAAUAUCAUCAAUGAUGAUGAAGUUAAUUAGCGCAACAGUAAUGAUUGGAACAAAUGUAAUUGUUGGAGUGGUUGAUAUUACUCGGGAUAAUUGAAUUGUUGGCGAAUGGAAAUAUUGACCUCAAUACGCCUGAAUUGUGUUAAUAAAACGAGUUGUACCAGAGGGUAAAUCAUUAUUGCAGGAUUAGAUAUCGUGAAUGCAAUAAAUGGAGCACAGAGUUCAGCGUCAACUUUUUCGUCCAUACCCGUUCUCACGUUUUUUCGAUCUAUCGGAAUUCAAUGAAGUAGUUCCAAUUAGUUUUUCAUCGGAGGAAAAAGUUGUUUCAUCGGCUCCACUAAAUAUUUAUCGGAUUUUUAAAAACUCGACUAGAGUUGAAUGUACAUUGGAGAAUGGAGUUUAUAUUUGCAAAGUAUUUUCAUAUCCAGAGGAAAAAAAAAUGCCAAAUAUUUUUCUGGGCAGAAUCUAAAGCGAGUUUCCAAAUGAAAUUCCGAGGUAUUUGAUUGCUUUUGUAUAAUUAUGUAGUUUUUAAUUUCAGUAAGGAAUAAAACAUGAAUAAAUAAUAUAUUUAAAAAAUUACUGUUGA